AGCGGGACUUUUAAUAAACGAGUUGCAUUUGCUACAAUGAAUGGGUCCACAAUCGCACUGUUAGUACUCGUCAGAGUCAUCCUCUGUGUCUCCACCGUCACCAGCAACUACAACUGUUUCUCGUGGUGAGCGACAGGCCAUUGCUGGCGCUCAUAAAGGGUCCUGAUUGUUCUCAUUGUCCGAGGAGAUUGUCUCACGGUUGAUUUAGUCAUCAGCUAAAUAAAUAAAUAUUUUGAAAAUGAAGUCCGAGAAUGGGAAUAACGUCCUGGUCUCUAGAGGCAAUCAACUCUGGUAUGGCUUUCUGUGGGGAACAUCAUUGAGCGUACAACUCUGGUUCAUGCCAGCAUCACCUGGCCAAUGAUAACAGUGUUAGAUCCCCUAUCAAGGACAAGGGGGACUUUCUAAUUUUAGAACCAGCAUUUAUUAGCUCUUAAUGACUGCAGCUGGGACAAGGGCAACUAAACUUAGGGCGUGCUCGCUCCCAGUGUGGAGAAAGGAGACGUGACGUUGAAAGGGAAAGACACCCCAGUGGACACCCAACCCGAGCACGCAUCUCAGUUGAGACUUCGUUAUUUCUCCCUGGUCUGCUGAUGCCUUCUUUAUCAUGGUGGUAGACAUACCUUUCGUGAAGUCCAACGGUGGGACCUUGCCUUCUGAACAGCCAUCCCCUGAGGUGGUCACGCAUUUAUAGAGAAUACUACAAGUGGGGUGUGCACUUAAGUUCGCUAUUGAAACUUUCCCACAGAUACAUUCCCCAGAUGUGAAUCCAUGCCCCCUCCUUUCAUGCCCCAUCUUUCCAUGCAUGCUCCUUGUAUUAUUGGCUUCACUGUUCGGCCAUCAGAUCUGCUCUGGUUGGGGUAGGGGGUAGAGGACAGGAGGAUAUGAGGGGGGUGGGCUGGAAUUCAGAGUUCGGCUGGGCUACUGCUCUUUCGCUGUGGCAGAUAUAGCACUGAAUCUUUGAACCUAUCCUGGUGCAACUUUCCACACCCUCUCCCUCCACUGGCUGGGGAGAUCAGUGGACACCACUGUCCCUCUCCUCCCCCACGCUUCUCAGCAUAUGAUCAGAUUCUCUCCCCUGUUCCUUAGCCAGACUCUGGGGAAAGGAUUGUUUUGGCUGGAAUUUGACAAGGCACAGGUGGUUUCGCCAGCUGUAAGUUCUUUAGUUCUUGCUGGCUGCCCACCAACUCUUGGUCUUUUCACAGUCUUUUCUGCAGCGGCGGAGGAGGGGCAGGAAGGGACAGUAGGUCCUUGACGUUGUUGUUCAACAUCAGCAGCUGUCUCGGGUUGGCAUUGAAUCCAGAGUGUUCCUCAGGAAGGGUAGGGUUUUUUCCCCCCUCCUUUUCUCUUGAGAUUGGAGUAAUCAUCAAGGAGCAGCUCCCGGUGGAUAACACCAACUAUAUCUUGGUCAUUUGGGCAAGGGGCCCACGGGCAGCAUGAUUCCCUUGUGUAAACAUCCUCGUCCAGUUGUGCCCGGCUCUUGGGCUCAGCUCAGAAGGCCCUGCUCUCAGCCACCUCUCAGGGGGUUCAGGCUAGCUCUGGGCUGCAAGUCUCUUCACUGCUGCACUGGUUGGAAUCCAAUGACACCAUCUUUGUCUCCCAAAAGAGACAAAAAUAAUCCUCAGCUUCGUCUCUUAAAUGCUUCCUUUUUUUUAAAGAAAAAAAAACUUAAAACUUGAAAGGCCUUUUUCUCCUUCCUCUUCCUCUCUCAGCAUCUUUGUGACAGGGACCGGGAGAGUGUGCUGUUUGACCCCGAGGGCCAGUACCUCCACUCUUCUCCUCUUAGGUCCCUUUUAUUCUAAAACUGUUCACUUAACCCCUUUCCUUCAUCGGCUUCAAGCCUCCGCCAGGGUCUUCUUAGGCCUCCUUUCCUGUGAGGCACUUGCAAAGCUUGGGUCUGGUCUUUCCUUGAUGUGGGUGGGCGCUCACCUCCCCAUUAAUCUGAAUCUUGUGGAAGGGGAAGCUAAGUGGCCCUUUCUGGGUGGAUUCGUCUCUCCUUUCCUCUGAUCUUCUUUCUCCCUGCCCUCCCCCUCACUAAUGGCCUCUGCCCGUUAGCACCAGAGCAUGCUGGGAUCUUCCUGUUGUCAGCUGCUGGGAAGCAAGAACUAAGCUAGCAAAACCUUUGCAAGGGGUGGGGACAAGUCCCUGGGGGACCCCGUAGGAGUUUUUGUAGGCUCUGACCUCACUUUCAUGCCUCCUGCCCAUUUCCAGCUGCAGGACUGGCUGGCACCACUCUUGGACCCUGAUAGCGUGGCCUGAUGUUCUCCCGGGAUUCCCGCAUCCCAGCUGCCCCCUCACCCUCCACAGAGAAUCGCCAUCUUCCAUCUCAUGAUUACUCCAGCUCAUUGCCAGCCCGGCUUGAAAAUGGAGGCCAUAAGAGGCGCCUCUUGUCAACUUUGAUUUCUUUGAAGCCCAAACAGCCUAGGACAAGAGUAUUCGGGCUACGCCUGUCCAUUCCGUGAAGAAAUGGAUACAUCUUUCCUGUGUUUGCUUCAAGAGCCUAGCCAUGAUAGUCUUCAGCCAUAGCCUCUCCCCCCCCCCCCGUAAGAGCUUGCAUCCAGUCUGAAUGCUAAAUAAUGUUGUCACGAGGUUGCGUGGGCACUGGUUAAGAUCUAUGCCCAAACUAUAAUGAAUCUCUCUUCUACAUUACUGUUAUCGUGGCCAAAAUUGGUGAGCGGCCCAUCCUCAAGGGAGAGGUGGGAGGAGAGGAGGAUAUUGUGUUGGACUCUAUCCUGGACAUAUCUUCGGCUAGACUCCUGGAGCAGUUUAAAUCAAGAGCUGGGCCGAGCAGACUUGAAUGGCUUUCAAGUGACAGAUUUAUGGAGGCGGGCCUAAUUAGAUCAUGGUAAUUUGUAGUAUGACAAUAUCUUUUGCUCAAGAUCUCAAAGCAAAUUUCUGCCUUGAUAGGUGAAUUACACAAAGGCCCACAAAUAUUAAAGCAUUUUCUCACUAACACACACACACACACACACACACACACACACACACACACACUCCUUGGGCAGCCCCCAAUGAGAGCCAAGCU